GGAUGGGUGGCCUAGUGGUUCAGGCGCCGUUUCUACAAGGCGGAGGUCACAGUUCGAUUCUGUGCCUGUCCA
rnacentral:tRNA from 1 species